UUAACUUUCAAAUAUAAUAUGCGUAGGUUUUAAUUUUGAACUCCCCCAUAUGACAAUCGCAACAAAGACUGAAAAAAGGAGAGGGAGUUUUAAAAUUGAAGUAAAUGACAAAAAGCAUGCCAGAACACAGACCCAACCCCCAAACGCAGCGGCAGAUCAGAGCCUCCCAGCAGGAGAGAGAACCCCAGCGUCUCCUCCCUUGAUCAGCUUACUGCUGUUUCACAGGCAAGACUGCACCAUCCUGCAAAUCUAUAGAGACCAUUGAGAUUCCAAACAAAGCCAUUAGCAGGUCAGUCACCAGCUGAUGUGAGCCGAUACUGAAUGAAGGGCAUGAAAGAUGGAAGGAUUAUUGUGAAGCACUCAACAUGUUGAGAUCUUCUACAGAGACAUGGCUUCGAGAAACUGAAUUCCUCAAAUUGUCCCUACUAACAUACAUGUCUAACACUUUUGUGAGUGAAUGUCUUUUUCUCCCGUAUGGUUAUAAAUUCUUUGAAUACACCUGGGGUGGCUGGUGUGAGGCUCUGUUAUUUGCCCUGAUGUGACCGUUUUGGUGCUACCUUCUGGAAAUCCGUGCAGUCCUCUGGUCUGGGAAUCCUUUAAGCUGAAUGUCCUUUCUGGAAGAUGUUCCAA